UACGGGGGGGGCAAGCGUUGUUCGGAAUUACUGGGCGUAAAGGGCUCGUAGGUGGCCAACUAAGUCAUACGUGAAAUCCCUCAGCUUAACUGGGGAACUGCGUCUGAUACUGGAUGGCUUGAGUUUGGGAGAGGGAUGCGGAAUUCCAGGUGUAGCGGUGAAAUGCGUAGAUAUCUGGAGGAACACCGGUGGCGAAGGCGGCAUCCUGGACCAAUACUGACACUGAGGAGCGAGAGCCAGGGGAGCAAACGGG
rnacentral:rRNA from 1 species